UUUAUUAUCUUAGAGAGAGAAAUAUUAAUGUCAACCAAAUAGAGUCUAUUAAUUCAUUUGUUAAAAAUGACAAAAUAGAUUAUAUUGACGUAAUGAAAUUUAGUUGUCCCAAAUAAAUAUCAGUUUAACAGAAUUUAACAAAACCGAUUUAAUUGCCCGAAGAGAAAUUUUUUCUCAGUGUAAUUAUCAAAAAACUUCAAAACAAUUUACGUUCAUACCAAAGGACAUGUUGAGGCGUGAUAAUAUUAUACUAAAUGAACACCAACAACUAAUUAAUGUCAAUAAAGUAUUACAUUAAGUUCACAGUAAUUAUAUUAAGUUCAGUAUACAAAUAAAUAUUUUCAACACCUGUUGAAAUUGAUAAGACAUACCAGAAUGAUCGUCGUCGGAAAUAUUUAUCACAAUUGACUUUACUGUCGAAGGUUAAGAGAUUCAUUUAGUAAACAAAAAAAUCACACGUUAAUAAGAUUAUUGAUGAAUGUAAAUCAAGAGAAAUAGUAAUUAAAGUUGACGAACAAUAAUGCAGAGUAAUAUGACAACAGUGGCGGUUUUACAACCUGGAGGAGUUUUUUAUCAAGCUUUAAUUUUCAUGUUUGAAUUAGGUUGCUGCGUUUGUCAUCAUGGAUAUAAGAAUGCAACUUGAAAUAGAUGUGAGAAUCCAUAGACUUUUUAUUUUCAUUUAUAUUUAUUUUAUGUCAGUUAUAUUAUUAAUUUUCUACUAGACAUCAAAAAUUUUUUAAAAUGUAAAAGCUAUUGUUUUAAAUUUGAUUUUCAAAAAUUUAGCUUUGUGCGAUUAUUAUCAGUAAUAAAUUUAUGUGUGUAUAUAUAUUUUUAACGAAUUAUUUAAUUUUAAUUUUAAUGGUUUUUAUU